rnacentral:rRNA from 1 species
GAUGAACGCUGGCGGCGUGCCUAAUACAUGCAAGUCGAGCGAACGGACGAGAAGCUUGCUUCUCUGAUGUUAGCGGCGGACGGGUGAGUAACACGUGGAUAACCUACCUAUAAGACUGGGAUAACUUCGGGAAACCGGAGCUAAUACCGGAUAAUAUUUUGAACCGCAUGGUUCAAAAGUGAAAGACGGUCUUGCUGUCACUUAUAGAUGGAUCCGCGCUGCAUUAGCUAGUUGGUAGGGUAACGGCUUACCAAGGCAACGAUGCAUAGCCGACCUGAGAGGGUGAUCGGCCACACUGGAACUGAGACACGGUCCAGACUCCUACGGGAGGCAGCAGUAGGGAAUCUUCCGCAAUGGGCGAAAGCCUGACGGAGCAACGCCGCGUGAGUGAUGAAGGUCUUCGGAUCGUAAAACUCUGUUAUUAGGGAAGAACAUAUGUGUAAGUAACUGUGCACAUCUUGACGGUACCUAAUCAGAAAGCCACGGCUAACUACGUGCCAGCAGCCGCGGUAAUACGUAGGUGGCAAGCGUUAUCCGGAAUUAUUGGGCGUAAAGCGCGCGUAGGCGGUUUUUUAAGUCUGAUGUGAAAGCCCACGGCUCAACCGUGGAGGGUCAUUGGAAACUGGAAAACUUGAGUGCAGAAGAGGAAAGCGGAAUUCCAUGUGUAGCGGUGAAAUGCGCAGAGAUAUGGAGGAACACCAGUGGCGAAGGCGACUUUCUGGUCUGUAACUGACGCUGAUGUGCGAAAGCGUGGGGAUCAAACAGGAUUAGAUACCCUGGUAGUCCACGCCGUAAACGAUGAGUGCUAAGUGUUAGGGGGUUUCCGCCCCUUAGUGCUGCAGCUAACGCAUUAAGCACUCCGCCUGGGGAGUACGACCGCAAGGUUGAAACUCAAAGGAAUUGACGGGGACCCGCACAAGCGGUGGAGCAUGUGGUUUAAUUCGAAGCAACGCGAAGAACCUUACCAAAUCUUGACAUCCUUUGACAACUCUAGAGAUAGAGCCUACCCCUUCGGGGGACAAAGUGACAGGUGGUGCAUGGUUGUCGUCAGCUCGUGUCGUGAGAUGUUGGGUUAAGUCCCGCAACGAGCGCAACCCUUAAGCUUAGUUGCCAUCAUUAAGUUGGGCACUCUAAGUUGACUGCCGGUGACAAACCGGAGGAAGGUGGGGAUGACGUCAAAUCAUCAUGCCCCUUAUGAUUUGGGCUACACACGUGCUACAAUGGACAAUACAAAGGGCAGCGAAACCGCGAGGUCAAGCAAAUCCCAUAAAGUUGUUCUCAGUUCGGAUUGUAGUCUGCAACUCGACUACAUGAAGCUGGAAUCGCUAGUAAUCGUAGAUCAGCAUGCUACGGUGAAUACGUUCCCGGGUCU